UGUAACACAAUUUGUAAGUCGCUCUGGAUAAGAGCGUCUGCUAAAUGACUUAAA
rfam:Salmo salar isolate Sally breed double haploid chromosome ssa25, whole genome shotgun sequence.